AGUUGUGAGUCAUUUGUAACGCUGUUGAAUUUGAGAAGAAAAAUCGUAGAUUUCCGGUUUGUCUUGGAAAGAGAAUCUUUAUAGAAGUUGCUAAGCAAGAUAAAGAAGCCUUUAACGCCCUCAAAAUAACUUUUUACAAAACGCAACGCAUACACUGGAUUCUACUUCAUCAUUGGUCAAUUCACAAAGAAGUCACGUGAGAUAGGCGUUGGAACUCAGAGCAUUCAGUUCGUGUUGUAUUUCAAAGUGUUGGAUUAUAGGAAAAUUUUUCUGUCAGAAAUUACAGAAAUUACAGAGAGUUCUGACAUAGUUCUCGUAGAAGAGGAAGACGAAUCUUCGGCGAAUGUGAACAAGGAACUACUAUCUGGUAUCACGCUACUAAAUGCGAAUAUGAUUGCUGUUUGCGAAUCGCUCAAGAAAUUUCAACAUGUCUACCGGCUGACAGGAAUGAUUUUACUAGCCAAGAUAUUAGAUACCGAUAAAUAUUUAGACAAAAGUGAAGUUGAAGUAACCUUUGGAUUUAUUCACUAUUCAUUCAUUAUGUGUGCCGUUCAACUAUCGCUACAUUAGGGAAUUUAUUGCUUAAAGAACUGAUUGCAAAGGCUCUAAAGAAAAUGAUCCACA